GACGAACGCUGGCGGCGUGCCUAAUACAUGCAAGUAGAACGCUGAAGGAGGAGCUUGCUUCUCUGGAUGAGUUGCGAACGGGUGAGUAACGCGUAGGUAACCUGCCUGGUAGCGGGGGAUAACUAUUGGAAACGAUAGCUAAUACCGCAUAAGAGUAGAUGUUGCAUGACAUUUGCUUAAAAGGUGCAAUUGCAUCACUACCAGAUGGACCUGCGUUGUAUUAGCUAGUUGGUGGGGUAACGGCUCACCAAGGCGACGAUACAUAGCCGAACUGAGAGGGGGAGCGGCCGCACUGGGACGGAGACACGGCCCAGAGGCCUACGGGAGGCAGCAGUAGGGAAUCUGCGGCAAGAGGCGGAAGUCUGACCGAGCAACGCCGCGUGAGUGAAGAAGGUUUUCGGAUCGUAAAGCUCUGUUGUAAGAGAAGAACGAGUGUGAGAGUGGAAAGUUCACACUGUGACGGUAUCUUACCAGAAAGGGACGGCUAACUACGUG
rnacentral:rRNA from 1 species